UCGAAAACGCCCUCCCACUUUCUUCAAUUUGCAAAACGAGCCCUCUCCCAGUGGGCGAUCCCCCCAGCCGCCAAAGCUCCCAAUUUCUGGGAGAAGAAACAUCCUCAUCUCCAGCGCAUUACCCUACGCCAACGACGUCCCUCGUUUAGGCAAUAUCAUCGGAUGUGCGUUCUUUUGCAGUUUACUCCCUCUUCUCACCUAACUUUGCAUUUGGUUAUUUGGGCUUUUCCUUCUGUCUUUUGUUUAGGUGUUUUGAGUUAGGGUGUUCUUGCGAGGCACUGCCGGCUGAGGGGCUACAGUGCAAUUUAUAUUUGUGGGACCGAUGAGUAUGGGAUGGAGACCAAACCCAUGGAGGAGAACUGCUCCCCUAAGGAGAUUUGUGACACAUUGUUCACAUGGGCAGAUUUGCAAGCAAAGUUAAAUGGUGAAUUGUUUAUGAAACAACUUGGCAAACUCUAUCCCUCAUGUUUUGAGCUUCACUGAAAACCAGAAGGAUUGGACUAUGAGUUCAUCAUUCCUGAUGCUUAGAAUGCAGAAUCACAUCAGUUAACAAAGACUUUAGCUGAGACGGUUGGAAAUCUGGUGGAUCAAUGUAGGCCGUGGAGAAGGUUAAACUAAAAGAAGGGUUUAAAGACUGCUGUGAGCAUAUCGAGUGCAGGGAACGCAUAUUCGCGAGCAAGUCCUUUGAUACCUCCUCCUCUUUCUGUUAAACAAAGUUGUAUUAUGACCUCGAUCCUUUUGAUGUGUAAUAUAGGAAAACCAAUUUUGGAAUUAUAAAGACAAUUGAUCUUCAUGCUCCAUUGUUAUAAAGACUUCAGCUGAACUUGUGUAUCUUCUAGCGACUUUGUCAGAACCUUUCAUGCAUUCCUUUGCUGGUCAAGUGCUGAAGCGGCUUAAUUACCUCCUGAAACACACCUCACACUAUGUGAUGAGAAAGGAGAUAUUGAUAAAGGUGCCAAGUCCAGUAGUACUGCAAAACCAAAGGCCAGAAAAACAUAAUUGCUUCCUAAAUAAGGUGAUUCUGUAAGAUUAUCCCUGCUGCAUUCUGUUUUCCUUUGGUGUUUAAGUUCAUUAACAGUGAAUUAAGGGCUGACAACUUGAUUAGCUUCUGAUUUUAUUAUGUAUAUGUGUAUCUUUGUAUAUGCCUGCAUAUAUGUGCAAUUGUGAAGAAAGGACAGCUUCAACAUGCAUUGAUCAAGCUAAAAAUAUCUACAAUAAGUACAGAACUUAUUCAGCCUUUAUCAUUAAUAGCAAUCAUCCAACUACUUCU